ensembl:snRNA U6 U6 spliceosomal RNA
UUGAUCGCUUUGGAGGCACAUAUACUAAAAUUGAAAUGAUACAGAGAUUAGCAUGGCCCAUGCACAGGGAUGGCAGGCAAAUUUGUGAAGCAUUUAAUAUUAUU